GAUGAACGCUGGCGGCGUGCCUAACACAUGCAAGUCGAGCGAACGGACGAGAAGCUUGCUUCUCUGAUUUUAGCGGCGGACGGGUGAGUAACACGUGGAUAACCUACCUAUAAGACUGGGAUAACUUCGGGAAACCGUAGCUAAUACCGGAUAAUAUUUUGAACCUCAUGGUUCAAAAGUGAAAGACGGUCUUGCUGUCACUUAUGGAUGGAUCCGCGCUGCAUUAGCUAGUUGGUAAGGUAACGGCUUACCAAGGCAACGAUGCAUAGCCGACCUGAGAGGGUGAUCGGCCACACUGGAACUGAGAAACGGUCCAGACUCCUACGGGAGGCAGCAGUAGGGAAUAUUCCGCAAUGGGCGAAAGCCUGACGAAGCAACGCCGCGUGAGUGAUGAAGGUCUUCGGAUCGUAAAACUCUGUUAUUAGGGAAGAACAUAUGUGUAAGUAACUGUGCACAUCUUGACGGUACCUAAUCAGAAAGCCACGGCUAACUACGUG
rnacentral:rRNA from 1 species